rnacentral:rRNA from 1 species
GACGAACGCUGGCGGCGUGCUUAACACAUGCAAGUCGAACGGAAAGGCCCUGCUUUUGUGGGGUGCUCGAGUGGCGAACGGGUGAGUAACACGUGAGUAACCUGCCCUUGACUUUGGGAUAACUUCAGGAAACUGGGGCUAAUACCGGAUAGGAGCUCCUGCUGCAUGGUGGGGGUUGGAAAGUUUCGGCGGUUGGGGAUGGACUCGCGGCUUAUCAGCUUGUUGGUGGGGUAGUGGCUUACCAAGGCUUUGACGGGUAGCCGGCCUGAGAGGGUGACCGGCCACAGUGGGACUGAGAUACGGCCCAGACUCCUACGGGAGGCAGCAGUGGGGAAUAUUGAACAAGGGGCGGAAGCCUGAUGCAGCAACGCCGCGUGCGGGAUGAAGGCCUUCGGGUUGUAAACCGCUUUCGCCUGUGACGAAGCGUGAGUGACGGUAAUGUGUAAAGAAGCACCGGCUAACUACGUG